CCUACGGGCGGCAGCAGUGGGGAAUAUUGCGCAAUGGGCGAAAGCCUGACGCAGCGACGCCGCGUGAGGGAUGAAGGUCUUCGGAUCGUAAACCUCUGUCAGCAGGGAAGAACGGUCACUGUGCUAAUCAGCAGUGAAUUGACGGUACCUGCAAAGGAAGCACCGGCUAACUCCGUGCCAGCAGCCGCGGUAAUACGGAGGGUGCGAGCGUUAAUCGGAAUUACUGGGCGUAAAGCGCUCGUAGGCGGUAUGUCAAGUCAAGGGUGAAAGCCCCGCGCUCAACUUGGGAACUGCCUUUGAAACUGGCAAACUGGAGUGUGUGAGAGGAUAGUGGAAUUCCAGGUGUAGGAGUGAAAUCCGUAGAUAUCUGGAGGAACAUCAGUGGCGAAGGCGACUAUCUGGCACAUAACUGACGCUGAGGAGCGAAAGCGUGGGUAGCAAACAGGAUUAGAUACCCGAGUAGUC
rnacentral:rRNA from 1 species